CUCACUGUACAAACAAAAAUUAGUAAACAUUUUAGAAAGAUGUUCAGUUCAAGUGAGCAGUUUUAAGAUGGCACACAUUCAUUGUCUUUUUGUAUAUUAUAUCCAAAAGAUAGAAGUUCAAAUUUGUCUUUUGUACCAUUUUUUUGUUACGGAUAUCGCUAUUACUCCAACAAUGAAGUUGAUGAAAUUGACAAAAAUGAAAAUUGGUAUAUUACAAUGAUUCUGUAAUGCUAUACUAGUCAAAAGAACACCUGACCAAUGUUCGA
rnacentral:lncRNA from 1 species